UACGUAGGCAGCAAGCGUUGUUCGGAGUUACUGGGCGUAAAGGGUGCGUAGGCGGCGGGGUAAGUUUGAUGUGAAAUCCCGGGGCUCAACCCUGGAAUUGCAUUGAAUACUACCUUGCUAGAGUACCGGAGAGGAAACUGGAAUUUACGGUGUAGCAGUGAAAUGCGUAGAUAUUGGGAGGAACACCAGUGGCGAAGGCGGGUUGCUGGGCUGAUACUGACGCUGAGGCGCGAAAGCCAGGGGAGCGAACGGG
rnacentral:rRNA from 1 species